CAGUUACUCCCUCCGUUCGGAAUUACUUGUCACAAAAAUAGAUGUAUCUACAACUAAAAUACAUCUAGAUACAUUCAUUUUUUGGACGAGUAAUUCCGAACGGAGGGAGUAUUUA
rnacentral:pre_miRNA from 1 species